GACGAACGCUGGCGGCGUGCUUAACACAUGCAAGUCGAACGGCAAGGCCCUGCUUUUGUGGGGUGCUCGAGUGGCGAACGGGUGAGUAACACGUGAGUAACCUGCCCUUGACUUUGGGAUAAGUUCAGGAAACUGGGGCUAAUACCGGAUAGGAGCUCCUGCUGCAUGGUGGGGGUUGGAAAGUUUCGGCGGUCGGGGAUGGACUCGCGGCUUAUCAGCUUGUUGGUGGGGUAGUGGCUUACCAAGGCUUUGACGGGUAGCCGGCCUGGGAGGGUGACCGGCAACAUUGGGACUGAGAGACGGCGCAGACUCCUACGGGAGGCAACAGUGGGGAAUAUUGCACAAUGGGCGGAAGCCUGAUGCAGCGACGCCGCGUGCGGGAUGACGGUCUUCGGGUUGUAAACCGCUUUCGCCUGUGACGAAGCGGGAGUGACGGUAAUGAGUAAAGAAGCACCGGCUAACUACGUG
rnacentral:rRNA from 1 species